GGGAUUUUGAGACUAUUUAGCCCAUUUAUUUAAUGGAAGUGGAUGAAGAUCGGUUUCGUUGCCUAUUACGGGAUUCCUUUACCUGGGCGAGGCCCUUUGAGCGUGACGCCCCCCCCGCCACGCCACGCCACGCCAAUGACGCCAACCACGUGACAGAGGAGCAAUCCAUGAAAUGGGACAAUUGGCAAGCAAUUGAUCCUGCCCAAAUCCCAGAGUUCCUGUGGGAAUAAUCAAUAUCUGAAAACAGAGCGCUUAACGAAGCGAGGGAAGAAGAGCGUGGGUGGAAGAGAGAAAGAGAGAGAGCGGCCAGGUUUCCACAGCAACGGCCGAUCAACAGCAGCAGUAGCCAAGGGGGUAAUUCCAUCUUGAAGAGAACAGGCUACAGGAGCCACUGCAACGCAGUAAAGACUGGGGGCAU